UGAUGCAGCAACGCCGCGUGAGGGAUGACGGCCUUCGGGUUGUAAACCUCUUUUAGUAGGGAAGAAGCGAAAGUGACGGUACCUGCAGAAAAAGCACCGGCUAACUACGUGCCAGCAGCCGCGGUAAUACGUAGGGUGCAAGCGUUGUCCGGAAUUAUUGGGCGUAAAGAGCUCGUAGGCGGUUUGUCGCGUCUGCUGUGAAAUCCCGAGGCUCAACCUCGGGCUUGCAGUGGGUACGGGCAGACUAGAGUGCGGUAGGGGAGAUUGGAAUUCCUGGUGUAGCGGUGGAAUGCGCAGAUAUCAGGAGGAACACCGAUGGCGAAGGCAGAUCUCUGGGCCGUAACUGACGCUGAGGAGCGAAAGCGUGGGGAGCGAACAGGAUUAGAUACCCUGGUAGUCCACGCCGUAAACGUUGGGCGCUAGAUGUAGGGACCUUUCCACGGUUUCUGUGUCGUAGCUAACGCAUUAAGCGCCCCGCCUGGGGAGUACGGCCGCAAGGCUAAAACUCAAAGGAAUUGACGGGGGCCCGCACAAGCGGCGGAGCAUGCGGAUUAAUUCGAUGCAACGCGAAGAACCUUACCAAGGCUUGACAUACACCGGAAACGGCCAGAGAUGGUCGCCCCCUUGUGGUCGGUGUACAGGUGGUGCAUGGUUGUCGUCAGCUCGUGUCGUGAGAUGUUGGGUUAAGUCCCGCAACGAGCGCAACCCUCGUUCUAUGUUGCCAGCGCGUUAUGGCGGGGACUCAUAGGAGACUGCCGGGGUCAACUCGGAGGAAGGUGGGGAUGACGUCAAAUCAUCAUGCCCCUUAUGUCUUGGGCUUCACGCAUGCUACAAUGGCCGGUACAAAGGGCUGCGAUACCGUAAGGUGGAGCGAAUCCCAAAAAGCCGGUCUCAGUUCGGAUUGAGGUCUGCAACUCGACCUCAUGAAGUCGGAGUCGCUAGUAAUCGCAGAUCAGCAACGCUGCGGUGAAUACGUUCCCGGGCCUUGUACACACCGCCCGUCAAGUCAUGAAAGUCGGUAACACCCGAAGCCGG
rnacentral:rRNA from 2 species